GUCCACGCUGUAAACGAUGAUCACUGGGUGUGGCGGGUAAUCAUUCCUGCCGUGCCGCAGCUAACGCGUUAAGUGAUCCGCCUGGGGACUACGGUCGCAAGACUAAAACUCAAAGGAAUUGACGGGGGCCCCGCACAAGCGGUGGAGUAUGUGGUUUAAUUCGACGCAACGCGAAGAACCUUACCUGGGCUUGACAUCCCCGGCCAGUCCUUGAAAGAGGAUCUUCCCCUUCGGGGGACCGGGAGACAGGUGCUGCAUGGCUGUCGU
rnacentral:rRNA from 1 species